rnacentral:rRNA from 1 species
CAGUAGCCGCGGGAAUACGUAGGUGGCAAGCGUUGUCCGGAAUUAUUGGGCGUAAAGGGCUCGCAGGCGGUUUCUUAAGUCUGAUGUGAAAGCCCCCGGCUCAACCGGGGAGGGUCAUUGGAAACUGGGAAACUUGAGUGCAGAAGAGGAGAGUGGAACUCCACGUGUAGCGGUGAAAUGCGUAGAGGUGUGGAGGAACACCAGUGGCGAAGGCGACUCUCUGGUCUGUAACUGACGCUGAGGAGCGAAAGCGUGGGGAGCGAACAGGAUUAGAUACCCCAGUAGUCCCUGUCUCUUAUAC